rnacentral:misc_RNA from 1 species
AGUCGUAACAAGGUUUCCGUAGGUGAACCUGCGGAAGGAUCAUUAACACUUUGUUAUACCCAAUACCAACCAACUGUGAACUGUAACGUCCCUAUCCGCAAUUAGAAGGGUGUAGACUUCGGUUGAUACCUUCGAAGUUGUGCGAUAGACAAUACCCACCCUAGUAGUCAUCAAACCACUAGCUUCGGUUAGCGGCUUGGUGAUGAACGUAUUCACCAAUUUUCACCCUAUAAUUUUUAACCUGACUAAUCUUCAUAAACUUAAUGACUGCUUCGGCGGUUGAUAAGCUUUACGAAAUAACGAACAACUCUUAGCAAUGGAUAUCUUGGGUCAU